AACGAACGCUGGCGGCAGGCCUAACACAUGCAAGUCGAGCGAACCCUUCGGGGUUAGCGGCGGACGGGUUAGUAACGCGUGGGAAUAUACCCUUUGGUACGGAAUAGCCUCGGGAAACUGAGAGUAAUACCGUAUGUGCCCCUCGGGGGAAAGAUUUAUCGCCAAAGGAUUAGCCCGCGUUGGAUUAGAUAGUUGGUGGGGUAAUGGCCUACCAAGUCUACGAUCCAUAGCUGGUUUGAGAGGAUGAUCAGCAACACUGGGACUGAGACACGGCCCAGACUCCUACGGGAGGCAGCAGUGGGGAAUCUUAGACAAUGGGCGCAAGCCUGAUCUAGCCAUGCCGCGUGGACGAUGAAGGCCUUAGGGUUGUAAAGUCCUUUCAGAUGGGAAGAUAAUGACGGUACCAUCAGAAGAAGCCCCGGCUAACUCCGUG
rnacentral:rRNA from 1 species